rnacentral:rRNA from 1 species
CGCGUAGGCGGUUUGGCAAGUCUGACGUGAAAUGUACCGGUUCAACCGGGGCGCUGUGUCAGAAACUGCCAUACUUGAGGUCGAGGGAGGAGAGUGGAAUUCCUGGUGUAGCGGUGAAAUGCGUAGAUAUCAGGAGGAACACCCGUGGCGAAGGCGACUCUCUAUCUCGAUUCUGACGCUGAGGCGCGAAAGCUAGGGAGCAAACG